rnacentral:sRNA from 1 species
GGCGGGGCAGGUGGGCUAUGGUUGCUUGGAGAGUGCAUUCGGCCCGGUACUUGUGAUCGGAGGAGAGCCGGAUCGUCCUUCCUUGAACCCUCUGGGUAGGGCUGUGCUGAGGGGCUGGGCGGGGAGCACAGGCCGUGUCCGCUCGCUUGCACCUUUUCAGACUGCCGUGUCAGGCCUCGAGCCGGGCCCACCUGGAGCCCUCCCCUGCCCACCCGCCCCCAGCGCCCGAUAUCCGCCCCCAGCCCAGAAGGGCCGGGCUCGGUCAUCCCCAGUCCCGUCGCGGCCACUGACCCUUGAGAUCAGCCCUCCCCUCCCCACCUUCCCGUCCCAGGCCAGCCCAGGGCCCGAAGCCCACCCACUCGCGUCUCUAGCAGCCGCUCUUGUCCUCUGGGUACGGCUCGCGGGGGUGUUGGUUACCAUGGUGAAGCUGGCAGCCAAAUGCAUCCUGGCAGACCCAGCAGUGGGCAAGACCGCCCUGGCACAGAUCUUCCGCAGUGAUGGAGCCCAUUUCCAGAAAAGCUACACCCUGACAACAGGAAUGGAUUUGGUGGUGAAGACAGUGCCAGUUCCUGACACGGGAGACAGUGUGGAACUCUUCAUUUUUGACUCUGCUGGCAAGGAGCUGUUUUCGGAAAUGCUGGAUAAAUUGUGGGAGAGUCCCAAUGUCUUAUGUCUCGUCUAUGAUGUGACCAAUGAAGAAUCCUUCAACAACUGCAGCAAGUGGCUGGAGAAGGCUCGGUCACAGGCUCCAGGCAUCUCUCUCCCAGGUACGGGCUGCAGACACCCAUGUUUCCCAGCGGCAUCUCUGUCCUUCGGUUCAAGAGCACAAGGGCAUUGCAGAGGUAGCUGUGGGUGGAGAAGGGGCCCUGGGCUUGGACUUUGAUGGCCUAAGGCAUACACUGGCCCUGCCGCUUAGCAGCCAUGCCAACCUCGGUGAGUCACCACACACACCUCUCCCAGUCUAGGAAACGGGAAUGAGGACACGCACCUGGCAGGGCUGUGGGGAGACUCAAUAACGGGAGGGUGCUGUAAUAUCAGUUGUUAAUUCCAGAAAGCUAACCCCAGGGAAGAGUUCCUAAUUUUCUCUUGUAUAUGGGGUACAAGUAAACAUUCAAGUCCUGUUGUCACUUCUGAAUGCUUUAAAUCAGUUUAUUUUUCGUCCCUAUGUGAGAUCAACAAAUUCUCCUCAUUAUAGACCGGGGAAAGUGAUCUCCAGAGACAGGCUCAAAAAUUAGCUGCAGCUGAUGCAGCUGGGAGCUGAACUAAAUUACCUCUGAAUCCCUGACUCCGAGCCGAGUCCUUAGAUUACUAUUAAUGACCAGUUUACAGUUUGCUCCGUGUGCUCAGAAUUAUUACAAAGGCUCACAUAAAUUUGGCCCUCGCCUUCAGGCGUUUGCAGCCCUUUAAGGAGGCAAGGGAGACAGAUACACUUGAGGUCUAGAAAAAGAUCUAGCAGAAGCUGUGCAUGAAAAGCCAAGCCCACCUGUCUCUCUGUGGCCCUUGGGGCCAUCACAAGAGACCCCCGGCUUUCCCUGUGGGGGCUCACCACCUCGAGUCAGGCAGCUCUCAGAGGAUGCUUUGCACCCCUCAAAAAUAGUGCUCUCAUCUCGCCCGCUGUCCUUCCAGACUGUGACAGUGAAGUGCCAUAUUUUGGUUGUUUCUUCUGAGUAGGUGUUUUAGUUGGGAACAAGACAGACCUGGCCGGCAGACGAGCAGUGGACUCAGCUGAGGCCCGGGCAUGGGCGCUGGGCCAGGGCCUGGAAUGUUUUGAAACAUCCGUGGUGAGUAUUUCCACUUGCCUCGUUGCCAAGUCUGGAGUGGGCCUCUGCUGGCAGCGGUCUUGCACAUGACCUCACGUGCAGGGAGCUGUUAUUCCACCAUAUGCAGAGUCUCAUUUGGAACUGAUGUUUACAUUCUUACCCAAGAUCUCUUCUCAGUAUAGCAGUAGCUGCUCAGACAUAACAGGAAAGCAGAUCACCCAGCCAACCCUGGGAAAAGGUGUAUCUCAACUAGUAAGAAAUACAAGUGCUUUGUGUGCGGUGAUCAUGACCCUCGACGUUUGCAUGCAGUAUUCUGGGUUCAGAUGUUGUUGGAACAUUGUUUCAUGUGGCCCUCACAACAAGUCCUGUGAACCAGAAGUUGGCCCCACAGUUCCCAUUCCAGUUUUGAGGAGCUCAAGUGACUUGUCCAAAGUCCCAUGAUUAGCGAAGGGUGGAGCCAGGAUUAGGACUCAUGGCCUCUAAUUCCCAUCGGUGCCACCCAUCCUCACCUUGCUGCAGCCCCAGGGUGACUCCAGGCCAUAAAGUGCCUGCCAGUUAAAAGAGCAGAAGACCUCAUUACAAAAAGCAAGUGAUUUGUUGUCAGCAUCUUCAGUACACUUUUCCUGGCAAAAACUGCAAUUACUUUUGCACCAACCUAAUGUAUCAUGAUUUUAGCUGUCCAGCACUGAGGAACCUGCUUCCUGUGUUUGGGAGUUUUAAAGUCCCAUCCUCCUUGAGGCCAAGAUGCAGCCAUGUGACCCAGGCUGCACCAAUCAGACCCCUCACGUGAGACUCCACUAGGAAGGGCAUGAAGUGAUGAUCUGCCCUCUAGGAACAGGUGUGGCCCUGAACAUCCAUCUCAGAGCCAGCAGGGGCCCGAGUGUUGGUUGCCCUGCCCCUCGCCAGGGUUGCUAGCUGGGGAGAUCACCAGGCCUGGCACAGUCAUGGUCGUAACGUGGACCUCACCUUGUGGCCUUUAGACCUGAUUCUGUGGCCCUCAGAAUUGAGUCAUGGGCUGGUUAAUGUUCUGGAGGUCAUCUUCUGCUCCAGCUUGACUUUGGCUCUAGGCACUUCCGCUAUUGCAUCUAGGAACCUUGACCGGUGCUGUCCGAGCUUACAAAACGCCCCCAAAGUAGCAUGCUUCCUUAGGGAAAGUACAGCAGUAAAGGCAGGCACUCUGACCUCCCAUGGUGAGUGGCAGAACUUGCCGUGGGAACCUGGACAUGUUAUUUCACCUGUUGGUGGCUCAGGCUUGUAAAAUGAGGAUCAUAAAAUAUAUCCCUUAUCGAGUAAUAAAUAUGAGAAUCAAGUAAUAUGUCACAUAUAAAACACGGAUCACAGAGUCUGGCGUCCGGUAAACACUCAGUAGAUGUUAGCUUUCUUAAAGUAUAAAUAUUGCCCCUAGAAUCUUGUUUAUACUGUUAUUACUUACUAAAUCCUUGUAUUCAUGGCUUGUGCAGAGAUAAAUAUCACCCUUGCCUCUGCUCCAGUUAUCACAAAUGCUAAAUUAAUGAAGUCCAAAUCAGCUUGUCCUGUAUAGAGGGUUUGCCAUCUUUCCUGCAGCACCGCUUUGUGCAAAGCAGUAGGCGGUAGUGCCCUAGCAAACAGGAUUUCAGUAUUCUCCCUUCCUCCAUUCAUUUGUGAAAUUGUCCCUGCACCCCAAUAUUCCAUAUUCCCUAGAACGCUUGAUAGAACUCAGAAAUUAAAACCCACCCCAACCUCCAAAACAUGAGUCAUCAAAGGCCAGUGGGCUACGGGUUAAACUCUGUUGAGGUGUUGAAGUGGGUGGGUGUAAACUACGCUUGAAGAGGCUGCAGUAAGCACUUGCUAUUAUCUGUGCAAGUUAACUAGUCCCCCCUGAGUUGAGGCUCACAGAAGCACUACUGGCAGCUCGGUUAAGAAAGCUGUAAUUAAAAAGGAAAUAUAACCAAACGCAGCUUCAGACGCAGCCAAGGCCUGACACCAAGCUCAUCUCCUCCUCUCUUCUGCCUAAACACCGCAGUGACCAUCCUGCCGACCCAAAGGAGGUCCCUACAAACAAGUGCAAGAACAAUCCGCGCUGAUCACUGCCCUCCCAGGCAAGCGAGGAGUGGGGAAGUAACAUCUGAUGAGGGCCUACUGUGUGCUAGGUGUUUUGCACACAUUAUUUGUUUAGGCUUCAUAACAGCCCUACAAGGUAACACUCCUGUGUUGUAUAGAUGACAGACUCAGAAAGGUUGUGUAGCUUGCCCUGGUGGCAUAGUUAAACGAGGGCUAGAAACAGGACUAGGAGUCAGGCCUGUCCAGCUGGAAAACUUGGGUUUUCUAGAAGGGGUACCCUGGCCUCCUGUGGAGCCUGCUGUGGGACUCUGCAGAACACAAUUCAAGGCCAGACUGAACACUAGCCUGAACCUGCCCUGAGAAUCCCCCUAAGCCGACCUACUUCACAGCUGUCCUGACUGUGUAAGCGAGAUGAUGAUUAGUGAUCAGACGAAAGGAUUCCUGUCAUUGGUAACCCUCUCAAAGUAUUUGGAAAACAGUUCAAUUUUCAUCUAUUUCAGAAGCACGCCGUGGUGUCUAUUGAGGCUCACCUGCAUUGAAUUCCUUCCUUUUUAUGUUGUGAUCUCCCAAGAUUGCAUUGUGGAGUGUUUUCGAAUCCAUUUUGAAAUCCCCGUGCGUGCGCUAUGCAGGCCUCCGUCUUUUUCCAUUCCAUUCUUAACUCUACUUUCGACGGAAGCAGUGUUUUACCCCGACACUGGCUUGCCUAGGACCUUGUGCUCUGCACAACUAGCAGGGCCCGGCAGGAUGUACUGAAUUCUUGCUCUCGUGUCCAGCUGGAGGGUGAUGGCUUUCAAGUCCUUGGCUGUUGGGAGCUUACUAUAAAUGUUCGUCUUGGCUACAAACUCUCCACUCUUUCCUCGGCACUCUCUCAGCAUUGCCACCACUGUCUUUCCUCUUGGCCAACUGUUUUCUUUGCUUAGGCUUUCCCUUGCUAGAAAGUCCAGGUAACUUUCUCCACGGGACCUGGUUUCCUUCGCACAUCCCAGCUGGCCUCGAGGAAAGGUAGCUCUUCCCAAAUCAGAGAAUCUGGAUGCUGGCCUGGGCUCUGCACCAACCAGCUGGGCCGCUUCACCCACUGGGCCCCAAACUACUCAUCUGUGAAGCGAAGGCACCGCGCUUGAUGCCUUCUGCAACGUUCUUCAGUUUGGAAAUCCUUCUGUUUCGCUGGGGAUAUUUCACGGCCUCUUCUCAAGGUUGCACUUUUGCCAGCUGCCAGGGAUCGUCUCAAAACAGGUUCUUAGUGCAUUCAUAGCUUGAGCUGCUGUCUUGAAAGUAGUACAUUCCUUUUUCUGCCAACUUUUUUCUGAGACAGUUUUUGAAUGCACAUGUGCACCCACAGAGUGAGAGUGGCUGUUAAGAGAGAGGGCGCCAUUUCCUUUCCCCUCCAGCCUGUCCCUGUGCACCCUGGAGGGGCCCGUUUUUUCCACCGCUUAGAUAAAAUCUAGGGCAAGUUCCUGAACUUCUCUUUUCUCUCUCAGGUAACAAAAAUUCUUUUGGGCUCCUUUAGUCACAAAGAUAUUCACGAUUUCAGGUAUUAAAGUGCCCAGCCCUGGGUGAUUGUCAAAAUUCUGAACUUGAUUUAAAGCCGCACCUCCUCUCACAGUCUUUGGGAGGGAGAGACCGGAGCCAGGAGUGCAGCGUGUUUGCUGGGGUCUGUCGUGGCCCACUCCACACCUGCUGGGUGGAUCCGGCUGGUGCCCCAUGGGCGCCUCUGAGAUGCCCCUCCCCACCCACCCCAUCAGUGGCGCUGUCUCACCUGCAGGCUGCUUCUCACAGGUGGUCCCCCCUCACUCCUCCUGCAGCCCCAGUUCCUGGCUGUUCAUUCUUAUUGGGACCCGUCACCCUCCUGGAGGCGGUCCCAGCCGAGCCCCCUUAAGACAGCACCUGGCUGGCUCCACUUGGCCCCCGCUGGUUCAGGGAAGUGCUGCUGCAGCCGUCUAGUUUGACAAAGGAGGCAGCGAGGCCGUCUCAUUGGUAGCCCUCUCCUGGCUUGCCCAGCUACCACCUCACCUCGAUUCCUCCCAGGCCUGGGUCCAGCACCAGCCUAGGAAGAGGGUGCCCCAUGCUGUCUAGCUCUUCUUCGGGAUGGGGGGCUCCAGGUUGCUUGGUAUUUUGCUUUGGCCUUUGGAGCCUCAGUCAAAACUAAGCGAGGAAAGGUGUCAUUUUCACAUCUCGUCACACGUACAGUGACUGCAACUAAAAGCACAGGCUUUGUAGAAACAGACAUGGGUUCAGGCCCCAGCUCCACCAUUCACAAGGUGUGGGGCUUCCUGCAAGGUACCUUCAUCUCUGAGUUACCUGACUCCAUCUGAGUUUCCUUCUUGUAAAACUGGCAUCCAUGAAAGUGGCUACCUCGAAGGGCGUGAAGAUGAAAUGAGGUGGAAAGUAGGUAGCCCCCGAAUGAGGGAAGCAUUGAGUGAGAGCUGGCCCUCUGACCCUUCUAAAAGAACACAGCCAACUUUUAAAACUGUCUUUCCAGAAAGAGAUGGAAAACUUCGAAGCCCCUUUCCACUGCCUUGCCAAGCAGUUCCACCAGCUGUACCGGGAGAAGGUGGAGGUUUUCCGGGCCCUGGCGUGACGAGCUGGAGCAGAUCGUGCUGCACAACCGGAGAAGACAGAAUUACCUCUGCUCUUUUAAUAUAUAAUGAUGGCUUUAAAUAAAAUUAGGAGAAAAUGUC